rnacentral:lncRNA from 1 species
UUUAAAACCUUUUGAUGUUUUUAGAGCCGCCCCUGUGGCACAUGGAAGUUCCGGGGCUGGGGGUCUCAUCGGAGCUGCAGCUGCUGCACGGGGGCUCCUUGAUGGACGGUUCCGAGCCGCCGUUUGUGGGGAGUCUCACGCGCCCCGGCCUGUGCUUUCCUUGCAGCACGUGGACGAGUGGAACAUUGGCCGGCUCAGGACCAUCCUGGACCUGGUGGAGAAGGAGAGCGGCAUCACCAUCGAGGGCGUGAACACGCCCUACCUGUACUUCGGCAUGUGGAAGACGUCCUUCGCCUGGCACACCGAGGACAUGGACCUGUACAGCAUCAACUACCUCCACUUCGGGGAGCCCAAGUCCUGGCCUGAGGCAUUUCUUAGAGGCAGACUUCCAAGACUGGAGUCGCUCCUUCAGCUGAUAGAAAGCUUUCUUUUCCUCAUGGAAAAAAUACUUGGUGAGCAGCAGUGUGUGCUUAACCCAAGAGGGGACGCAAGGCCACUGGGCAGCCACGCCUUGCUCUCCACCGUGGCCGCAGUCUGGCUGGGGAGACAGACAUGUUCUCCCGCCCUGCCUGGGCCCACCCGUCUGUCUCAGCGUGUUAGCCAAGGCGCCGCCUUCAGCAGCGAGCAUGAGGCGGGAGGUGCCACCCUCACAGAUAGGAGGCUGGCCAGGGGGUGGAGUGGCACGGCCGCCCUGAUGGGGAACCGUGGGUGUGAUGGGGCCACACAGGAAGAUGCGUGAGCGUGGGGUGGAGGAGGUGACUGCUGAGCUGAGACCUGGCAGCUGGGGACGUGCUGGGUGGGGGGAGUGGGGGGGUCACGGAGACGGAGGGAAGUGCGUCUGGGUGGUGGCAACAGCGUGUGCGAAGACUGCAUCGAGAGCGCACGGUGUCGUGAGUACCUAGAGGAAGGAGGCCCCUUGUGGUUUGGGUGCCGAGUGUAAGGAUGGAGGAGCCAGGAGGCUGGAGGGGCCGCCAUGGCCGAGUCGGGGGGAGUCGAGGAAACUGCAUCCAUUUCCAUUCUAGCAUCUUCAGCCGCAUCCUUCCCCACGGGUUUUCUUUUCUCCUGUCAAAUGCUUUCCAGUUUCCCAUCUCGGUGGGGGGGCCCUUUUGAGCCUGUUCACCCCCGAACCACUGUCCGGUUAGUUCCUUCCUUAGAUGGCUGGACCUCUGGACUCUAGCUCUUGUUGGUCGCCGUGUUGACUCCAGCAAGCUCUGAUCUGAAUUGGAUUGUCUCUUGCUGGUGGGAGAGGUUUUCUAGUUACUGUGUAUACUUUUUAGGUCGUCCGAAGUGGUUCCUCCAGAGACUUCUGUGCAAGGUUGCCCGAUAGAUCCCAGAGUCCUUUAGGUGACAAACGUUUUCCUCAGCUCCUGUGUGAUAAAGCUGUUUGGGGUGGGAAGGCUUUGUUGUCGUGGAGUUCUGUUUAGAAUGGAUUUUAAAGGUAAAAUAG